rnacentral:ncRNA from 1 species
GUAAAAAUAAGAAUUAUAUUUAUCGAAUUGGCUUGUGUAAACAAGAGCUGCUAGGUGCAGUUA